rnacentral:sRNA from 12 species
AAGCUAUGAAAUCAGAGGGCGUGCCAAGAGCGUUGUCUGAUGGAGCAUGCGGGAGGGGUUGCACAGUGAAACCUCAACUUGGCGUAGGCAUCUGCCGAAAGAAAAUGUGAAUG